AUGCCCCAGUUCAUUUUAGAGUCACUUGGUUGUUUGAUGCGUUCGUGCUCGUCGGCGGGACGGUGCAAGGCGCAACUCCGACGCGGUUCCUCGCCGGUUGGACGGCAUUCAGGCGCAACCCCGGCGCGCACUGAGUACUGCCUUGGCUAUAACCUCCCUCGAAAUUCAGUUCAUAUGAAAGAAAAGAAAGGCAUACAGUACCUGGCAUUGACAUUGGGAGCAUGGGCUACUGCUCGCACCUCUACCUACAGGUUACAGAAAGAGAGCUAUAGUACUUUAAUUGUAAGUGCAUGCUUACAAAGUUCUAUCAUGCACAAUCAUCUAUGCACACCGGUCUAUCCAGAAGAUUAG
rnacentral:rRNA from 1 species